GACGAACGCUGGCGGCGUGCCUAAUACAUGCAAGUAGGACGCAGUUGCGAACUGGUGAGUAACGCGUAGGUAACUACCUAUCAGCGGGGGAUAACUAUUGGAAAUGAUAGCUAAUACUGCAUACUAGUAGAAGGUCCUGCGUUGUAUUAGGUAGUAGGAAGGGUAAUGGCCUACCUUGGUAAGGAUACAUAGCCGUCAUGAGAGGGUGGUCAGCCAACCUGGGACUGAGAAACGGCACAGACUCCUAAGGGAGGAAGCAGUAGGGAAUCUUCGGAGAUGGGGGAGAACCUGACCGAGCAACGCCGGGGGAGUGAUGACGGUGUUCGGAUGGUAAAGCUCUGUUGUUAAGGGAGCGGUACUUAACCAGAAAGGGACGGCUAACUACGUGCCAGCCGCCGCGGUAAUUC
rnacentral:rRNA from 1 species